rnacentral:rRNA from 1 species
AACGCUAGCUACAGGCUUAACACAUGCAAGUCGAGGGGAAACGAUAGAGAAAGCUUGCUUUUUCUAGGCGUCGACUGGCGCACGGGUGAGUAACGCGUAUCCAACCUGCCCACCACUUGGGGAUAACCUUGCGAAAGUAAGACUAAUACCCAAUGAUAUCUCUAGAAGACAUCUGAAAGGGAUUAAAGAUUUAUCGGUGAUGGAUGGGGAUGCGUCUGAUUAGUUUGUUGGCGGGGUAACGGCCCACCAAGGCGACGAUCAGUAGGGGUUCUGAGAGGAAGGUCCCCCACAUUGGAACUGAGACACGGUCCAAACUCCUACGGGAGGCAGCAGUGAGGAAUAUUGGUCAAUGGGCGAGAGCCUGAACCAGCCAAGUAGCGUGCAGGAUGACGGCCCUAUGGGUUGUAAACUGCUUUUAUAAGGGAAUAAAGUGAGUCUCGUGAGGCUUUUUGCAUGUACCUUAUGAAUAAGGACCGGCUAAUUCCGUGCCAGCAGCCGCGGUAAUACGGAAGGUCCGGGCGUUAUCCGGAUUUAUUGGGUUUAAAGGGAGCGUAGGCCGGAGAUUAAGCGUGUUGUGAAAUGUAGACGCUCAACGUCUGCACUGCAGCGCGAACUGGUUUCCUUGAGUACGCACAAAGUGGGCGGAAUUCGUGGUGUAGCGGUGAAAUGCUUAGAUAUCACGAAGAACUCCGAUUGCGAAGGCAGCUCACUGGAGCGCAACUGACGCUGAAGCUCGAAAGUGCGGGUAUCGAACAGGAUUAGAUACCCUGGUAGUCCGCACGGUAAACGAUGGAUGCCCGCUGUUGGUCUGAAUAGGUCAGCGGCC